UCAGGAUGAACGCUGGCGGCGUGCCUAAUACAUGCAAGUCGAACGAGAGAGCUUGCUCUCUAGUGGCGAACGGGUGAGUAACACGUAGGUAACCUGCCUUACGAGUUUGGGAUACCCUGGCGAAAGCUAGGCUAAUACCGAAUAAUUGGAUUGGAGGCAUCUCCGAUCUCUAAAAGGGGCCUUUAAAGCCUCGCUGAAUGAUGGACCUGCGGCGCAUUAGCUAGUUGGUGAGAUAACAGCCCACCAAGGCGAGGAUGCGUAGCCGACCUGAGAGGGUGAACGGCCACACUGGAACUGAGACACGGUCCAGACUCCUACGGGAGGCAGCAGUAGGGAGUUUUCGGCAAUGGGGCAACCCUGACCGAGCAACGCCGCGUGAAUGAAUGAAGGUCUUCGGAUUGUAAAGUUCUGUUAUAAGGGAAAAAUGAUAGGGUGAGGAAAUGCUCUCUAUUUGAUGGUACCUUAUUAGAAAGCCACGGCUAACUACGUGCCAGCCGCAGC
rnacentral:rRNA from 1 species